rnacentral:snRNA from 1 species
AGCUUUGCGCAGUGGCGGUAUCGUAGCCAAUGAGGUUUAUCCGAGGCACAAUUAUUGCUAAUUGAAAGUAGAAUAAGGCUCACAGGCCAAUGGG